AUAUCUUUUUGUAAUUUCCAAUCAUACCCGUCUCUCUCUCUCUCUCUCUCUCUCUCUCUAACAAAACCCAAUCCUUCUCUAUCUCUCUCCUUCUGUCUCUUGAUGGAAGAUAAUUCUAACAAUUCAUCUUCCAUCACGAACCAAUCCCCAUCCCUAACUUAACAAACCUUAAUUUACCGCCCAAAUUCACAAUUCACGAUGUUUUCGUGGAAUUUUGCGAAAUCGGCGGAGGCGGUACUGUCGCGGUGGGCGAUGAAAAGGCUGUGCAAGUUUGUAUUGAAGAAGAAAUUAGGGAAGUUUAUAUUAGGAGAUAUUGAUCUUGACCAGCUCGAUGUUCAACUCGCUGAAGGCACUAUUCAACUCAGUGAUCUUGCUCUCAAUGUCGAUUGUCUUAAUGAAAAGUUUGGGGCAGCGGCAUCCGUGAUGAUAAAAGAAGGGUCAAUUGGCUCAUUGUCGGUCAAAAUGCCAUGGAAGGGUAAAGGUUUUCAGGUUGAGGUGGAUGAGCUUGAGCUUGUACUUGCACCCUGUUUGAAGAAAAGGAAUUCACCAGCUGACGACGAGACUAGUAGUUCUAGUCAAGAGAGUAGACAUGGGCACAAGGAGGUGGGGAGGUUUGGGAAUGAUUUGAUGGAAAAUGCUCAAAAAUCUAGUUUUGUUGACGUUCAUGAAGGCGUCAAGACAAUCGCAAAGGUGGUGAAGUGGUUUUUGACUAGUUUCCAUGUAAAGGUUAAGAAGUUGAUUGUUGCAUAUGAGCCAUAUUUCGAGAAGGAUGAAAAGAAGGUUGGGUGUCAAGAAACUUUGGUCCUCAGAGUACCUGAAAUAGAAUGUGGAACCUGUGUUUCUGAAGAUGCUAACUUAAGUUCUGAUGAAAGAGUUGAGAACUUUCUAGGCAUUAGUCAGUUAAUGAAUUUUAUUAAGUUUCAAGGAGCAGUGCUUGAACUUCUCAAAACAGAUGGUGUUGACAAUCAAAGUUGCAGUCCAUGUGUGUCAGAUUCAAGUUUUAGUGAGCAAUUUUCAGGGCGCUGCCGAUCAAAACCUACAACUCCUAUUGUGACAGGGAAAAAAGGUGGAUUUUCAGGGAAUUUAAAGCUAAGUAUUCCUUGGAAGAAUGGUUCAUUAGACAUUCACAAAUUAGAUGCAGAGGUUUGUGUGGAUCCUGUAGAAUUAAGACUUCAACCAAGCACAAUCAAGUGGUUCCUACUUUCAUGGGAAACUUAUAAGAAUAUUGAUCAAGAUGGCAGGGGGGAUGCACAUUAUAAAUCAACCGAACCAGUCUACUUUAAUUCUUCUUCUCAUUUCCAUUCUUCGUUAUCUAUCCCUGGUGUGGUUGCUAAUGAUAAAGUGAGCCCUGUUCGUGGUAGCCUUACAUCUGCCCUUUCUUCUUUCACCGGGAAAGAAUCAGUUAGUGAAGCAAUGCUACCUGGAUCACAUCUUAUAUCUGACUGGGUGCCAAAUUCUAUUCAAAACGAGAAAGAUGGUAUCCAAGAAGAAUUAGACCUAGGAGCAAGUGUGGACCAAUUUUUCGAAUGUUUAGAUGGAAUGAGAAGUUCACAAUCAGCUCUGGGAAGCAGCGGGAUGUGGAACUGGACAUGUUCUGUUUUCAGUGCAUUAACUGCAGCAUCCAGCCUUGCUUCUGGAUCUUUUCAAAUCCCUUCUGAAGACCAGCAUGUUCAAACCACCCUUAAAGUGACUUUGGCUGGAGUUUCUGUCUUGCUAUCCUUUCAGGAUGAAGAUCAGGAAUAUCUGUAUGGUCAAAAGAGUGAUCAGAAUACUGUUGGACUGGAGAUUCGUUGUCUUAGUGCAGAAUGCAAAGAUAUUUUUGUUGUUUUGCAGGUUUGUCCUCAAGAAAUGAGGUUUGAAGGAACAGUGAAGUGUAUUGAGGUUAUUGAUUACUUGUACGAUAAAAAUGAUGCCAUGAAUAGUCACUCGACGGAGUUUAGCAACAGUCAAACUGUUUUGAUCCAGAAUCUGCAAUCUGAAGUCCAAGGUGUUCUCCCUCCAUUUCCUCAUUCAGAUGAAUUAAGUACAUUAAUUGCACCAGGAGUUCCAUUUGGAAAUGCGACCAAGAUGAAACUGCUUGGUACCUCAGGUGUCACUCGGUGCCAAUUUACUGUAUAUUCUGAUUCGUCAGAUGGAAAUUUUACUGGAACAAAGUCAUUUUCAUUGCAACUGCCGUUGUUAAUAUUCUGGGUGAACUUUGCUUCAGUAAACGUGAUACUGAAUCUUCUGAAGGAUGCUGAAAAGUCUGUUGAAAGGAGUAUCCAGAGGAAUGGAUUUCCAUCUGUCAAUAAGAAGCAUGAAUCAUCUCAUGGAAAUAUGAAAAAAGGUUCAAGUUCUAGGGUUUCAACAUUGACCUCUACAGAAAAUUUGCAAGGUAGUAUAUCAGUCCUUAAGGCGAGGGUAAUACUAUGUUUCCCAUUUGUAAGCGGUGGAGAUAUUGGAGGCCACUCUCCCUGGAAUCAAUUUAUUGCUGUUGAUAUUUCUUCACCGUCGAUCUUGGAAAGCCCAACAUCGAAUUCCAGUUCGUGGAAAAGGCAUGCACCAAGGACCAUAUGUUCUUUGCAUUUGAAUGUUAGUAAUCUCAAGGUUUACUUGGUCAAUCCAGCUUGUAAUGAUGAUGGAACUACCUUGUCUACUUUGAUGCCAAGGUAUAGAUUUUGUGCACAGAAGAUUGUGUCUGUGAGUAAUAGAGCUGGUUGCCUAUGUACAAUUAGUAUGCUUUGGCAGGAAGACCCCGUGACUGGUCCUUGGAUAGCUGAGAAAGCCAAGUCUCUGGCAACUUCAGAGGAAUCCAGGAGCAGGAAAAAAAUCAAGGUGAAAGGAUAUGAAUUUGCUAGUGCAACUGCUGCAAAGGAUCUAGGAGACAUAAAUUUGCAAACCAGAGAAGAGUUAAUUUUGAGCUCUGCAUUCUUCUUGCAUGUUCAUCUGCUUCCUGUUGUGGUGGAUCUUAGCAGUUCUCAGUAUAGAAAUUUGCAUUGCCUUCUAGAUCAGAUGAUUAAUGGAUUAUCAGGCAUGGCCUGCAAUGUAGACGGUGUUAGGGAAUUGUCUCCAGCCAGUCAAACAUCAAUUCUUGUGAAGUGUGAAUCAGUAGAUUUUUCAAUUAGACCAGAUAUAAAGGAUGACAUAAAAAGUUCAUUGCAGAGUGAACUUCCUGGAUCAUGGCAUUGUUUAAAACUGAAAAUUCAAAAAUUUGAUAUGCUGUCCGUCUCAAAUAUUGGAGGUAUCAGGGGUGCCAAUUUCUUUUGGCUAGCCCAUGGAGAAGGUAAAUUAUGGGGUUCCAUCACCGGAGUUCCAGAUCAAGAGUUUCUUCUGAUUUCUUGUAGCAACUCCACUAUGAAACGUGGAGAUGGAGGAGGUUCCAAUGCAUUGUCUUCUAGCUUGGCUGGUUCUGAAAUUAUACACAUAUGGGAUCCAAAGAGCUCACAUGAUUUUACAUCUGUUAGUGUCAGAUGUGCCACAGUUAUUGCUGUUGGUGGUCGCUUGGAUUGGCUGGAUGCAAUAUCCUCCUUCUUCAUUUUGCCCUCUCCUAAAGUGGAGAAGGCAAACAAUGAAAAUCUGGCAAAGGGGGAUUUGAAUGCCCCUUCUGAAACUUCUUUCAUUCUAAAGUUGGUUGAUAUUGGAAUAAGUUAUGAGCCUUACUUGAAGAAGUCAGUGGUUAGGGAUCUUCAUUCCGAGUCUGGCUCCUCAUAUUCCAUAGAAGAAACAGGUGAGCCGCACAUUGCUUGUCUAUUAGCUGCAUCUUUGUUUUCUCUUUCCAAUACAACAACGGAAGAUUCUAUUGAUAAUGAUUACAAAAUUAGAGUGCAAGAUGUAGGGCUUCUUCUUGGUGCAGCACAUGAGAAUAUUGGUGGCACUCAUAGUGUGGAAUAUCUUCAUAAGAUGGGUUAUGUGAGAGUUGCCCAUGAGGCCCUGGUUGAAGCAAUUUUGAGAACUGACUGUAAGAAUGGCCUUCUCUGGGAGGUAGAAUGCACAAAAUCCCAUAUUUAUGUGGAAACUUGCCAUGACACUACUCGCGGUCUCAUGUGCCUGGCUGCUCAAUUCCAACAGCUCUAUGCCCCUGACUUGGAGGAAUCAGUUGUGCACUUGCAGAAUAGGUGGAAUGGUGUUUGUCAGACCCAAGAGAGAAACGAGUUCAAUGAUGAAGGUCGGAUUUUCAAUCAUGAUUGUGCGCCUUCGACUUCCCAAGUUCAUGCCCCUACUGCAGAUACAAAGAGUAACCUUGGGGUGGUUGGUUUAAUGGAUGAGAUAUGUGAAGAUGCAUUUCACUUGCAUGGGAUUCAGGCAUGCCGGUUUGAUUCCAGUGGAUCAGAAAUUCGUGUUUCACUUGAUGAAAGUCUCCUCGGAGAAGCUUGCAGCCUAAGUGUUGAAACUCCUGACUUCUUCUCAAAUGAUCUCUCUUAUGAUUGGCCAGUGCCUUUAAUAGGCCUGGAAAGUAAUCAAACCACAUUUCUACAGAGUGGUUCUUUCCCAGAAUUUAUAGAAGGCUAUUGUGUGUCUGAUUUACGCCCGUUGUCAGAAUUAUCCAUGGGCAGGCAGUCACCACCUGAAAAACUUAAAUGCAUAUCCAAGAAUUUUGGCAAUGCAGAUCAUGGAAGAGGAAAUGGUGGAUGGUAUGGGGAUGCCCCUUUGAGCAUUGUUGAAAAUCACAUUUCUGGAGCAAGUAGUGAAGCUAGUGUGAAUCAGGUUUUGGAAGACCAGCUUCCAACUUUGCAUUCUGCAAGAUCUGAUGAUUUUGGGAAGGCCACAGGACGUGUACUUUUUAAGAACAUUGAUGUGAGCUGGAGAAUGUAUGCUGGUUCUGACUGGCAGGCAUAUAAAAAGAAUAGUGAUCCAUGUAGUCAUACUUGUGGAAGGGAUACAACUGUUUGUCUAGAGCUUGCAUUGUCUGGAAUGCAAUUUCAAUACAAUGUCUUCCCAGUUGGUGGAGUAUGUGCAUCUAAGCUUUGUCUCACAGUUCAAGAUUUUCAUCUUUCUGAUAAGAGUAAAACUGCACCGUGGAAACAGAUACUUGGAUAUUAUCAUUCAAAAGAUCAUCCUAGGGAAUCCACUUCAAAAGCAUUCAAGCUGGACUUGGAAGCUGUCAGACCAGAUCCUCUAAUCCCUCUUGAGGAAUACCGGUUACGCAUAACUCUCCUUCCUUUGCUAUUGCAUCUACAUCAAAGCCAACUCGAUUUUCUCAUUAGCUUUUUUGGGCCCAAAAGCUUUUCAGCAGGCCAGUCUUCGGAUCAAGAUCAAAAUUCAGAUGGUGUAAAGACUUCUGCAACAAAUAGCUGUAAUCUUGCAGGACAUACAAUUGCAAAUGAAGCAUUGCUUCCCUUUUUUCAGAAGUUUGAAAUAUGGCCCAUUAUUCUUCGAGUUGACUACAGUCCCCAUCGUGUUGAUCUAGCAGCAUUGAGCAGUGGGAAGUAUGUGGAACUUGUGAACCUUGUCCCCUGGAAGGGGGUUGAACUACAGCUAAAACAUGUUCAUGCCGUUGGUGUCUAUGGCUGGGGCAGUGUAUUUGAAACAAUUAUAGGGGAGUGGUUGGUGGAGAUCUCUCGAAAUCAGAUGCAUAAAAUCUUGCAAGGCCUUCCUACCAUCCGGUCCCUGGUUGCUGUUGGUUCUGGUGCUGCAAAGCUUGUUUCCUUGCCUGUUGAGAGCUACAGGAAGGAUCAUAAAAUAAUCAAGGGAAUGCAAAGAGGUACAAGUGCAUUUCUAAAAAGUAUAUCGCUUGAAGCUGUUGGAUUUGGGGUGCAUUUGGCAGCUGGGGCUCAUGAUAUUUUGCUCCAAGCAGAGUAUAUUCUUACAAAUAUACCUUCUCCUCCUGUGUCAUGGUCUGUACAAGCCAAAACUAAAGAAAAUGUAAGAUGCAAUCAGCCAAAAGAUGCCCAGCAAGGAAUUCAACAUGCAUAUGAGAGUCUCAGUGAUGGCCUGGGAAAGUCCGCUUCUGCUUUAGUGCAGACUCCAUUGAAAAAAUAUCAGCAUGGAGCCAGCACAGUAACUGCCCUGGCAACUGCUGUACGGGCUGUUCCUGCUGCUGCCAUAGCUCCUGUUUCUGCUUGUGCAGGUGCAAUGCAUUGUGCUCUUCUUGGCCUUAGAAAUAGCCUUGACCCUGAACACAAAAAAGAGUCCAUGGAGAAGUAUCUGGGUUCUUCAAAGCCAAAUGACUGGGAUUGAUUGAAAUGCCUGAAGAGACCAUUGCAUGACUACAGGAUAGAAGGAUUCUUGCUGCCCUCUUUACAAGAGAAGGUCACUGGAGAUCUUGUUUGUCAUCAUCAUAGCCAACAUGUAUAAAGUGAGUUGAGGACUCUACCACUUGGUCUUUUUUGAAGACUUUAUAACACUAAAUAAAAUGGAUCUUGCUUCAAUGGAAUGAGAAGCAACCCGUUUAUGUCGGUGGUCCAAGUAAACAUGGCAUAGAAUUUCUGGUUUUGGCAUUCUGCUGAUGAUUAUUUAGCUGUGAAGGUGUUGAUACCUGUGAAUUGUGCUGAGUGACUUUUUCUAUUUUUCAUUGCUCAAGUAUCUAUCAAGGGUCUCUAGCAGUGCAUAAAAUCAAAAGACAAGCAUUUAGGUUUUUAAACGUUCUCCUUGUUGCAAAGAAAAAAGAAAGACAGUCAUCCUGUGCGCAGUUGACAAGACCAUCAAACAGAUUCUUUUCCAUCUGGAUGGCUUGGUAACAUCGUACAUUUUGUAAGUAGUCACUGAUGCUUUUAAGAUUUUAGCCAUACAGAUUGAGAAUUGUAACUAUAGCCAUCCAUCCAAAUUGGUUAGCGGGUGAUAGAGAAAAUUACACAUAUUCUUUGAUCUCCAUGACCACAAGGUAUGUUGUUUCUAUUUCUUGUACAAAAUUCUAGUGUUUUUCUGGGGAAAAUACUGUACAUAAUCCAUUUAAUGCUUAAAGAAUUGCAAGGUUUGAUCA